rnacentral:rRNA from 1 species
GAGUUUGAUCAUGGCUCAGAACGAACGCUGGCGGCGUGGAUUAGGCAUGCAAGUCGAACGUGAAAGCGCUUAAGGGGUAACCCGGCGGCGUGAGUAAAGUGGCGAACGGGUGAGUAACGCGUGGGAAACCUGCUCCAGAGUGGGGGAUAACAGUUCUAACGGACUGCUAAUACCGCAUGAGGCCACGGGUCGUAUGACUUCGUGGUUAAAGGAAGCCUCUAUUUAUAAGCUUUCGCUCCGGAAUGGUCCCGCGUCCUAUUAGCUUGUUGGUGGGGUAACGGCCUACCAAGGCAACGAUGGGUAGCCGGCCUGAGAGGGUGGUCGGCCACACUGGGACUGAGAUACGGCCCAGACUCCUACGGGAGGCAGCAGUCGAGAGGCUUCGGCAAUGGGGGAAACCCUGACCGAGCGACGCCGCGUGGGUGAUGAAGAUUCUCGGAUCGUAAAACCCUGUCAGGUGGGAUGAAAUACCAUUCGGUUAACACCCGAGUGGCUUGACAGUACCACCAGAGGAAGCUCCGGCUAACUCCGUGCCAGCAGCCGCGGUAACACGGGGGGAGCAAGCGUUGUUCGGAUUCAUUGGGCGUAAAGAGCUCGUAGGCGGCUCUGUAAGUUGGGGGUGAAAUAUCACGGCUCAACCGUGAAAACGCCU